UACAGAGGUCUCAAGCGUUGUUCGGAUUCAUUGGGCGUAAAGGGUGCGUAGGCGGCGCGGUAAGUCGGGUGUGAAAGCCCUGGGCUCAACCUAGGAAGUGCAUUCGAAACUCCCGAGCUGGAGUCCUGGAGAGGAAGGCGGAAUUCCCGGUGUAGAGGUGAAAUUCGUAGAUAUCGAGAGGAACACCGGUGGCGAAGGCGGCCUUCUGGACAGUGACUGACGCUGAGACGCGAAAGCGUGGGGAGCAAACAGG
rnacentral:rRNA from 1 species